CAGAGAGAGGGUAUGGAGGUAGAUAAAAGAUAUAUGGAUAAAUAGAUAAGUAGAUGAAUGGACAGAUGGAUACAUACAUAGCCAGAUAUGGACAGUUGAUGAUAGAUAAAUAGACAUUGACAGAUAGGUGAUACCCAGAUAGACAGACAUAGAAAACAGAUGUGAAUAGAUAAAAGACAGGCAGAUAAUAGAUGAACACAUAGAUACAGAGAUGGAUACAUAGACAGAUAGAUAGUUACAUAGUUAGGUUAGCUACAUAGUUACAUAAGUAGGGUAGGUACAUAGGUAGGAUAGAUACAUAGUUACAUAGAUAGGAUAGAUACAUAGUUGCAUAGAUAGGCUAGAUACAAAAAAAAGGCUAGAUACAUAGUUAACAGGUAGGAUAGAUACAUAGUUACAUAGAUAGGAUACAUACAUAGUCAUAUAGAUAGGAUAGAUACAUAGUUACAUACAUAGGACAGAUACACAGUGACAUAGGAUAGAUACAUAGUUGCAUAGAUAGGAUAGAUACAUAGUUGCAUAGAUAGGAUAGAUACAUAGUUGCAUAGAUAGGCUAGAUACAAAAAAAAGGCUAGAUACAUAGUUAACAGGUAGGAUAGAUACAUAGUUACAUAGAUAGGAUACAUACAUAGUCAUAUAGAUAGGAUAGAUACAUAGUUACAUACACAGGACAGAUACACAGUGACAUAGGAUAGAUACAUAGUUGCAUAGAUAGGAUAGAUACAUAGUUGCAUAGAUAGGCUAGAUACAAAAAAAAGGCUAGAUACAUAGUUAACAGGUAGGAUAGAUACAUAGUUACAUAGAUAGGAUACAUACAUAGUCAUAUAGAUAGGAUAGAUACAUAGUUACAUACACAGGACAGAUACACAGUGACAUAGGAUAGAUACAUAGUUGCAUAGAUAGGAUAGAUACAUAGUUGCAUAGAUAGGCUAGAUACAAAAAAAAAGGCUAGAUACAUAGUUAACAGGUAGGAUAGAUACAUAGUUACAUAGAUAGGAUACAUACAUAGUCAUAUAGAUAGGAUAGAUACAUAGUUACAUACAUAGGACAGAUACACAGUGACAUAGGAUAGAUACAUAGUUGCAUAGAUAGGAUAGAUACAUAAAUAGAACAUAGAUAAAUAGGUGAUGGGUAGAUGAAUGGACAGAUAGAUGCUGACAGAUGGAGGAUGGAUGGAUGGAGAGACAGAUGCACAGAUAGAUAUAUAAGACAGACUCCUGCCCAAGUAGAGGGGGACGGUGCCACCCCCUGGGGACAAACACACCAGGCC
ensembl:lncRNA